rnacentral:rRNA from 1 species
UACGGAGGAUGCGAGCGUUAUCCGGAUUUAUUGGGUUUAAAGGGUGCGUAGGCGGGCUUUUAAGUCAGCGGUAAAAAUUCGGGGCUCAACCCCGUCCGGCCGUUGAAACUGGGGGCCUUGAGUGGGCGAGAAGAAGGCUGAAUGCGUGGUGUAGCGGUGAAAUGCAUAGAUAUCACGCAGAACCCCGAUUGCGAAGGCAGCCUUCCGGCGCCCUACUGACGCUGAGGCACGAAAGUGCGGGGAUCGAACAGG